AUUGAACGCUGGCGGCAGGCCUAACACAUGCAAGUCGAGCGGAUGAAGGGAGCUUGCUCCUGGAUUCAGCGGCGGACGGGUGAGUAAUGCCUAGGAAUCUGCCUGGUAGUGGGGGAUAACGUCCGGAAACGGGCGCUAAUACCGCAUACGUCCUGAGGGAGAAAGUGGGGGAUCUUCGGACCUCACGCUAUCAGAUGAGCCUAGGUCGGAUUAGCUAGUUGGUGGGGUAAAGGCCUACCAAGGCGACGAUCCGUAACUGGUCUGAGAGGAUGAUCAGUCACACUGGAACUGAGACACGGUCCAGGCUCCUACGGGAGGCAGCAGUGGGGAAUAUUGGACAAUGGGCGAAAGCCUGAUCCAGCCACGCCGCGUGUGUGAAGAAGGUCUUCGGAUUGUAAAGCACUUUAAGUUGGGAGGAAGGGCAGUAAGUUAAUACCUUGCUGUUUUGACGUUACCAACAGAAUAAGCACCGGCUAACUUCGUG
rnacentral:rRNA from 1 species